UGGGGAAUAUUGCACAAUGGGCGGAAGCCUGAUGCAGCGACGCCGCGUGGGGGAUGAAGGCCUUCGGGUUGUAAACUCCUUUCGACAGGGACGAAGCUUUUGUGACGGUACCUGUAUAAGAAGCACCGGCUAACUACGUGCCAGCAGCCGCGGUAAUACGUAGGGUGCGAGCGUUGUCCGGAAUUACUGGGCGUAAAGAGCUCGUAGGUGGUUUGUCGCGUCGUCUGUGAAAUUCCGGGGCUUAACUCCGGGCGUGCAGGCGAUACGGGCUGACUUGAGUGCUGUAGGGGAGACUGGAAUUCCUGGUGUAGCGGUGAAAUUCGCAGAUAUCAGGAGGAACACCGAUGGCGAAGGCAGGUCUCUGGGCAGUAACUGACGCUGAGGAGCGAAAGCAUGGGUAGCGAACAGG
rnacentral:rRNA from 1 species